rnacentral:rRNA from 1 species
AGUCGAGUGCGCGUCCGUAGCAAUACGGAUGGCGCACGGCGCACGGGUGCGUAACACGUGGGCAAUCUGCCCUCAGAUGGGGGAUAACCCCGCGAAAGCGGGGCUAAUACCGCAUGACAUUCCGAAGACUCCGGUCUUUGGACUCAAAGGCCGCAAGGCCGUCAGAGGAGGAGCCCGCGCCCGAUUAGCUAGUUGGUGAGGUAACGGCUCACCAAGGCUUUGAUCGGUAGCCGGUCUGAGAGGAUGGCCGGCCACACUGGAACUGAGACACGGUCCAGACUCCUACGGGAGGCAGCAGUGGGGAAUAUUGCGCAAUGGGCGAAAGCCUGACGCAGCGACGCCGCGUGGGGGAUGAAGCUUCUCGGAGUGUAAACCCCUUUCGACCCGGACGAAUGACCCGCAAGGGUUUGACGGUACGGGUAUAAGAAGCCCCGGCUAACUACGUGCCAGCAGCCGCGGUAAUACGUAGGGGGCCAGCGUUGCUCGGAAUUACUGGGCGUAAAGGGUUCGUAGGUGGUGCGGCAAGUUGGAAGUGAAAUCUCUGGGCUUAACCCAGAGGCUGCUUUCAAAACUGCCGCGCUCGAGUGCGGGAGAGGCCAGUGGAAUUGCAGGUGUAGCGGUGAAAUGCGUAGAUAUCUGCAGGAACACCCGUGGCGAAGGCGGCUGGCUGGACCGCAACUGACACUGAGGAACGAAAGCUAGGGGAGCAAACAGGAUUAGAUACCCUGGUAGUCCUAGCCCUAAACCAUCAGAACUUGGGGUGGCCCGCGUAGCGGGUCGUCCCGUAGCUAACGCGUUAAGUUCUGCGCCUGGGUAGUACGGUCGCAGACUGAAACUCAA